rnacentral:rRNA from 1 species
CCUACGGGAGGCUGCAGUGGGGGAUAUUGCACAAUGGGGGGAACCCUGAUGCAGCGACGCCGCGUGGGUGAAGAAGCGCCUCGGCGCGUAAAGCCCUGUCAGCAGGGAAGAAAAUGACGGUACCUGAAGAAGAAGCCCCGGCUAACUACGUGCCAGCAGCCGCGGUAAUACGUAUGGUGCAAGCGUUAUCCGGAUUUACUGGGUGUAAAGGGAGCGCAGGCGGCACGGCAAGCCUGAUGUGAAAGCCCGCGGCCCAACCGCGGGACUGCAUUGGGAACUACCGGGCUGGAGUGCCGGAGAGGUAGGCGGAAUUCCUAGUGUAGCGGUGAAAUGCGUAGAUAUUAGGAGGAACACCAGUGGCGAAGGCGGCCUACUGGACGGUGACUGACGCUGAGGCUCGAAAGCGUGGGGAGCAAACAGGAUUAGAUACCCUUGUAGUC